rnacentral:misc_RNA from 1 species
CAACCCUCAAGCUCAGCUUGGUGUUGGGGACCUACGGCCUGCCGUAGGCCCCGAAAUUCAGUGGCGGGCUCGCCGUAGACCCGAGCGCAGUAGUAACAUCUCGCUUGCGGACUACCGGUGGGUGCUUGCCGUUAAACCCCCAACUUUAAGAC